AUUGAACGCUGGCGGCAAGCCUAACACAUGCAAGUCGAACGAGUGGCGGACGGGUGAGUAAUGUCUGGGAAACUGCCUGAUGGAGGGGGAUAACUACUGGAAACGGUAGCUAAUACCGCAUACAAUCGGAUGGGCCCAGAUGGGAUUAGCUAGUAGGUGGGGUAAAGGCUCAUCUAGGCGACGAUCACGAGCUGGUCUGAGAGGAUGACCAGCCACACUGGAACUGAGACACGUUCCAGACUCCUACGUGAGGCAGCAGUGGGGAAUAUUGCACACUGGGCGCAAGCCUGAUGCAGCCAUGCCGAGUGUAUGAAGAAGGCCUUCGGGUUUUAAAGUACUGUCAGCGGGGAGGCGUUACCCGCAGAAGAAGCACCGGCUAACUCCGUGCCAGCAGCCGCGGUAAUUC
rnacentral:rRNA from 1 species